GAGGGUCUGCAGAUUUCAGCCCACCCAGUAAAGUGGCUGAAAAACUGCAGCACUCCCGGA
rnacentral:ncRNA from 3 species